rnacentral:rRNA from 1 species
UGGGGAAUUUUGGACAAUGGGCGAAAGCCUGAUCCAGCAAUGCCGCGUGUGUGAAGAAGGCCUUCGGGUUGUAAAGCACUUUUGUCCGGAAAGAAAUCCUUGGCUCUAAUACAGUCGGGGGAUGACGGUACCGGAAGAAUAAGCACCGGCUAACUACGUGCCAGCAGCCGCGGUAAUACGUAGGGUGCAAGCGUUAAUCGGAAUUACUGGGCGUAAAGCGUGCGCAGGCGGUUUGCUAAGACCGAUGUGAAAUCCCCGGGCUCAACCUGGGAACUGCAUUGGUGACUGGCAGGCUAGAGUAUGGCAGAGGGGGGUAGAAUUCCACGUGUAGCAGUGAAAUGCGUAGAGAUGUGGAGGAAUACCGAUGGCGAAGGCAGCCCCCUGGGCCAAUACUGACGCUCAUGCACGAAAGCGUGGGGGAGCAAACAGGAUUAGAUACCCUGGUAGUCCACGCCCUAAACGAUGUCAACUAGUUGUGGGGAUUCAUUCCUUAGUAACGUAGCUAACGCGUGAAGUUGACCGCCUGGGGAGUACGGUCGCAAGAUUAAAACUCAAAUGAAUUGACGGGG